rnacentral:rRNA from 1 species
GUGCCAGCAGCCGCGGUGAAGACGUGGGGGCAAGCGAUGUCCGGAAUUACUGGGCGUAAAGGGCGUGUAGGCGGCGCGGUACGUAGCGGUUUUAAGCCUCCGGCUCCACCGGGAGGAGGGCGGCUAAACGGCCGGGCUAAAAGGCCAGAGAAGUGCGCGGAAUUCCUGGUGGCACGGUGCAAAGCGUAGAGAUCAAGAAGAACACCGGUGGCGAAGGCGGCGCACUGGCCUGGCCCUGACGCUGAGGCGCGACAGUGGGGAGCAAACGGGAUUAGAUACCCCGGUAGUCCACGCCGUAAACGAAGGGUACUAGGUGUCGCGGGGGUCCACCCCGCGGUGCCGGAGCUAACGCACUAAAUACCCCGCCUGGGGAGUACGGCCGCAAGGUUGAAACUCAAAGGAAUUGACGGGGGCCCGCACAAGCAGUGGAGCAUGUGGUUUAAUUCGACGCAACGCGCAGAACCUUACCAGGACUAGACGGGACCGUGAGCCGCGCGAAAGCGGCGGGCCUUCGGGGAGCGGUCGUCAGGUGCUGCAUGGUUGUCGUCAGCUCGUGUCGUGAGAUGUUGGGUUAAGUCCCGCAACGAGCGCAACCCUUGUCGCGUGUUGCCAGCGAGUCCGUCGGGCACUCACGCGAGACAGCCGGUGACAAGCCGGAGGAAGGUGGGGAUGACGUCAAAUCCGCAUGGCCUUGAUGUUCUGGGCUACACACGUGCUACAAUGGUCCCGACAACGGGCCGCGAAGGCGCGAGCCGGAGCGAAUCCUUCAAACGGGACCUCAGUUCGGAUUGCAGGCUGCAACCCGCCUGCAUGAAGCCGGAAUUGCUAGUAAUCGCCCAUCAGCAUGGGGCGGUGAAUUCGUUCCCGGGCCUUGUACACACCGCCCGUCACACCACGAGAGUCGGCCACACCCGAAGCCGGGCGAUCGA